AAGAAAAUGACGGUACCUGACUAAGAAGCCCCGGCUAACUACGUGCCAGCAGCCGCGGUAAUACGUAGGGGGCAAGCGUUAUCCGGAUUUACUGGGUGUAAAGGGAGCGUAGACGGAUGUGCAAGUCUGAAGUGAAAGCCCGGGGCUCAACCCCGGGACUGCUUUGGAAACUGUGUAUCUAGAGUGCCGGAGAGGUAAGCGGAAUUCCCAGUGUAGCGGUGAAAUGCGUAGAUAUUGGGAGGAACACCAGUGGCGAAGGCGGCUUACUGGACGGUAACUGACGUUGAGGCUCGAAAGCGUGGGGAGCAAACAGGAUUAGCUACCCUGGUAGUCCACGCCGUAAACGAUGACUACUAGGUGUCGGGUGUCAGAGACAUUCGGUGCCGCAGCAAACGCAAUAAGUAGUCCACCUGGGGAGUACGUUCGCAAGAAUGAAACUCAAAGGAUUUGACGGGGACCCGCACAAGCGGUGGAGCAUGUGGUUAAUUCGAAGCAACGCGAAGAACCUUACCUGGUCUUGACAUCCCGCUGACCGGACAGUAAUGUGUCCUUUUCUUCGGAACAGCGGUGACAGGUGGUGCAUGGUUGUCGUCAGCUCGUGUCGUGAGAUGUUGGGUUAAGUCCCGCAACGAGCGCAACCCCUAUCUUCAGUAGCCAGCAUUUGAGAUGGGCACUCUGGAGAGACUGCCAGGGAUAACCUGGAGGAAGGUGGGGAUGACGUCAAAUCAUCAUGCCCCUUAUGACCAGGGCUACACACGUGCUACAAUGGCGUAAACAAAGGGAAGCGAGACUGUGAGGUGGAGCAAAUCCCAAAAAUAACGUCUCAGUUCGGAUUGUAGUCUGCAACUCGACUACAUGAAGCUGGAAUCGCUAGUAAUCGCGAAUCAGCAUGUCGCGGUGAAUACGUUCCCGGGUCUUGUAAACAGCGCCCGUC
rnacentral:rRNA from 1 species